CAGAUCCACUCUCUCAGACAAAACAAGGCUGAGGCCCUUUGGACAGACCGUAUCCCCUAAUUUGCUCACAGAAGAAGAAGGAGAAGGAGAAGGAGAAGAAGAAGAAGAAGAAGAAGAAGAAGAAGAAGAAGAAGAAGAAGAAGAAGAAGAAGAAGAAGAAGAAGAAGAAGAAGAAGAAGAAGAAGAAGAAG
rnacentral:lncRNA from 12 species